rnacentral:lncRNA from 1 species
UAUCAGUCCUGGUUCUUGUCCGGGUCAGGGUUAGUCCUGCUUGUGCUGGAGGUUGGUGAGCACCACGACCCAGGGGCCUCCCGGGGGGCGGUCCUUGGGCUGGGGGAGGGUGUAGGCCCUCCCCCAGCCCAGGGAGGUGUUGGUCGGCCCGGAGCUGGGCUCCCCCGGGGCGCGCCGGCAGCUCAGCAGCGCCACCAGCUCCCGGCGGAAGCGGCGGCUGACCAUGCAGUAGAGCAGGAAGUUGGUGGUGGAGUUGAGGUUGUGCAGCAUGUUGGCCAGGUCGCCCGCCACGUUGAUGGGCAGGCCGUAGUCGUUGCGGUCGAAGGCGGGGCUGUUGUACACGGUGCGCAGGAUGCAGUAGGUGACGAAGCGCGGCAGGCUCAGCGCCACGAAGGCCACCGACACCGUGCCGAGCAGCAGGAUGGAGCGGCGGACCAGGCUGCGCGUGGUCCGGCCGCUCAUCACCCGCUGCUCCUCGCGGCUGAAGAGCCGGCCGGCGCGGCUCAGGUGGUACCCGAUCAGGUAGUUGAAGAUGAUGAGGAGGACGACGGGGACGCCCACGGAGAGGAUGCUGGUGACCCACACCAGCGCCGUGGAGUACGCCUCGUCGCGGUAGCGGCACCGCGGCAGCGUGACGUUGGCCCCGUCCACCGUGAAGUUGACGGGCGUCGGGGCGUUGAUCCAGGCCAUGGGCACGGACGCCAGGUGGGACAGCAUCACCACGGCAACGCAGGUGAUCCUGGGGACGCGGGGGCGGGACAGGUGGCGCACGGCGGCGGUGCUGCUGAGCACCACGUAGCGCUCGACGGUGAACACCACCACCACCCAGGAGGAGCUGUAGAGGGCGCCGUGCUGCAGGAAGGUCAGCACCUCGCACCAGGGCGAGGAGUGCCAGAAGGGCUGCAGCAGCCAGAAGUGGAGGGUGAGGUCCAGCAGGAUGACCCACACCAGGUAGAGGGAGUCCACCACCGCCAGGCAGCUCAGGUACACCACGGCCGAGUCCGACAUGCCACACCUCCGCACCAAGAUCAGGUAGAAGGUGACCAGGUUGGCUAG